rnacentral:rRNA from 1 species
AGAGUUUGAUCAUGGCUCAGAACGAACGCUGGCGGCAGGCCUAACACAUGCAAGUCGAACGCAUCCUUCGGGGUGAGUGGCAGACGGGUGAGUAACACGUGGGAACGUGCCUUUCGGUUCGGGAUAACCCAGGGAAACUUGGGCUAAUACCGGAUACGCCCUUCGGGGGAAAGAUUCAUUGCCGAGAGAUCGGCCCGCGUCUGAUUAGCUAGUUGGUGAGGUAAUGGCUCACCAAGGCGACGAUCAGUAGCUGGUCUGAGAGGAUGAUCAGCCACACUGGGACUGAGACACGGCCCAGACUCCUACGGGAGGCAGCAGUGGGGAAUAUUGGACAAUGGGCGCAAGCCUGAUCCAGCCAUGCCGCGUGAGUGAUGAAGGCCUUAGGGUUGUAAAGCUCUUUCGUCCGGGACGAUAAUGACGGUACCGGAAGAAGAAGCCCCGGCUAACUUCGUGCCAGCAGCCGCGGUAAUACGAAGGGGCUAGCGUUGUUCGGAAUCACUGGGCGUAAAGGGCGCGUAGGCGGCCAGAUAAGUCGGGGGUGAAAGCCUGUGGCUCAACCACAGAAUUGCCUUCGAUACUGUAUGGCUCGAGACCGGAAGAGGUUAGUGGAACUGCGAGUGUAGAGGUGAAAUUCGUAGAUAUUCGCAAGAACACCAGUGGCGAAGGCGGCUAACUGGUCCGGUUCUGACGCUGAGGCGCGAAAGCGUGGGGAGCAAACAGGAUUAGAUACCCUAGUAGUCC